UAAAGACCUAUAUCCAUGCCGGUUAAUACGAACUACUGUUUAAAAUCCAAAGAAUUUGGCGGUGUCUUAAAUAAUCAGGGGAACCUGUUACUUAAUUCGAUAAUCCACGACAAUCUAUCCAUUUUUUGAAAUUUCAGCCUGUGUACUGCUGUCGUCAGUAAACCUCUAAAAGUAAGUUUACAACUAUAUGAUAAUAUUCACGUCAAGUCAAAGUGCAGCCUAUAAUAUGGAGUAAAUGGGUUACAAUUCUAAAAUGAAAACAAAAUAGUAAAAUAAAAUAACUAUGAAGGUGGACUUGACAGUAAUAUUUAUAUACUACCAAUAUAAACUAAAAUCUAAGACAUGUACACAUCGCCCGUCGCUCUCGUCUUAAGAUG
rnacentral:rRNA from 1 species